GCCGAGUGCUUUUCGAUCAAGCACCUCCCACUCGUCGUCCUUCAUAUCCACUGGCUUUUCCUUCAAGGGCUUAUACAGGUCCUUCUGGUACAAGUAAUCCUCCAUUUGCAUUUUCCAAAAUCCAAAAUUCACACCAUUGAAUUUCUCCAUUUUGGAAAUUUUAUCGUCUGUCGACAUUGCUCCCACUCGAUCAAAAAACACGAUAAUUUUCUCAAAAAAUUCGUUUCUGAUGUGGAGGUUCAGUUUACACUGCAACCACAGAGCAUACUAAGAAUUUUAAAAGAAUAAUUACCGUUGCGCACGAAACACUGUUCGCAAAAUUUACUAUUCACGAAUUCACUAUUCACGUGAAUAGUACCAGCGCAAGAAAAAAAAUUUUCGCCACCAACGUGGCUCUGAUACCAGUUGUUAGGAAAUUAGACGCAACUAAUUCCGCCCGGGAUCUAGUGUGACGCAAUAUUUUGGAUAUCGACCGAUAUGAAACGAGAAAAAUAAAUGACACCGAUAUUUUUAACGUGGUUCGGCCAAACUGCCUACGUCCACGGACCCACACCAAUAUAUUAGAGAAUCUCAAAAGGAGGAGUACAACAAAAUUACCACACUGUAUUUUGUAUCUGCCUACGCAGAGGCUAUCUCUCAACUCACUUUUAUCACUCGUGUAUAACUUCCACACUGAAGUUUUCUCUCACAAGAUUUUUCUCUCUCUCUCUUUCUCUAUCUCUCUCUAGCAGAAAGCUUUGAUGGUUGUUUGGUGUUGUGUGUUGGAUGCUGCAGAAGAGCUCUCUAUUUAUAGGAAGAUUUGGAGGUGGUAGGUGAGAG
rnacentral:lncRNA from 1 species